GGCUCGGUAGCUUAGUUGGUGAAGCACUCGUCUAGUAUACUAGAGUCCUGGGUUCAAAGUUCAAAUCCCAGCCGAGCAC
rnacentral:tRNA from 1 species